UGCUUGAAUGAUUUCGCUGGCCCUGGUUAAAACGAAACGUUGCAAUACAGAAAUAAUUUUAUUUUUGCAGCCGGAUUAGGAAGAUGGGGCUGCAAAUAUCUUAAACACGCGACUCCUUCCCACCCCCCAAGUUUCCAUCCAGGCCUCACUAUGUCACAUGAUGAUGGACAUGAUAUAAUCUAGUUACGAAACACAACAGCAGUGGGAUAGAAACACGUUGAAGCGACGCAAUCUGCUGCAAACAGUCCAGAUGCAAAGCUGGAAGUCUCGGUUACUUUAACCCUAGGUUUACGCACCAGCAGGUUUACCUUCACUUUUACAGUCUAUGUGUGUGGGAUGGAUGUUUCCCAAACUCCUCAGCAGCAGCAACACUUCACCUGAUGUCAGUAUCCGUUUCCAAAGGCGAGCCCGCCACCAAAUAUGGCUUGAGAAGAAUUAGGUUUUUGUUUUUUUAAAAAAAACAAUCAAAAGUUGCAUUUGCGGGGGUUGAGAAUUUUCGCAGAACCUGAUUCUUCGAAACGUCUGUGGUCUCAGUGCAGCUUCACUGGAUGUAGGUGCAAGAAUCUUCACAGGCAAUUUUGAGAUCUAUGCAACCAUCGUGACACCGGAAGCUUCAGAGUUAUGAGUGGGUGGAAGAUGUUGGAAUCUCAGGUGACUGUGCACAGAACUACCCACCUGCAGUGCCUGAGCUCGUGUCUUUUGUAGAAGAAGACUCUUGCGAUCC